GCGUCGUCAAAGACCAGAAUGCUUUUUGUGGGAUAUGGAGGAAUGCACUGGGCAGAGCCCUCACGAUGAUAGAGACACACUCAGCCGCGUCAUUUCUGCAGGAGGAUAUGAGUGAUGAGGGCAACAUCUUGUGGAAUUGUUCGUCUAGCUGCUGCGCGACUGUGCAACACAGCUUUCAUUGCAUUUCUUGUCCGAGUGCCGUUACGGAUUUUUUCAGCCAGCACCAGUACGCAAAUGUCACGUUCUGUCCGGUUAUCCCCUUUAGACGGUUUGCUCUGAGCCGGGUGCGGUAAUGUAACUCGGCGCCAUUUGGUAGCUGAUAGACGACAGCGACGCCCGCAGGAUACAGUGUCUAGUCUCAGCAAUUCAUGUUGUAAAGAGAAUUGCGGCGGGUCAUAGCGCGACUAUUGCCGAAGACGUUUAUGUUAGUCAAUCUGUUCCUUGCAGAGGCAUCAAGCCGUGGUGGUCCACGAAGUGUCCACAUUGCCACGCGUGUGCACGGAUUCACGGUGCGUGUUCUGAUGGAAUGUCGCGCCGCCUUCAGGACAGCGUUGAAGGGGCUUCCCGCGUGUGAAUCAAAAGAAAUGGGUGGGAAUGUCGCCUGUUUCGCACACGUUGGAUGCGUCUGUCGGGUAUGUUGUGUUGACGGUCCUUUCAAUCUGCUGAAUAGGAAGGACCGACAUAUGGGGGGCAGGCGUCGUUGCGAACCAGCUGCCUCAGGUUCAGCCUUAUACCUUUUCGCAUUUUGCGCUUCAGUGCGUAUUCAUCCUGGCGAAGGAUGCACGUGGGAUGUUGUUUUCCUUGGGGCGCUUGGUGGUGGACGGACUGCUACAGGACUCCCAUGCUGUGAGCUGUAAUUGCCUGGAAUACUCCUCUCCAGUUGUCCUGACAUUGCCGUUUAUAUGAGAAAAUGAGAGGCCUCGUCCUAGCAGAGUCAUCGAGCCAUACUGGGCCACAAAGCUGUAUGCGAGCUUCCGGUCAAUGUUUUUCUGUUUAUCAGCCUUCGUUGCUCCUGAGUGUGCUUUUCUGUUUCGUUGCGUUCCCAUUCUCGUGGCAGGGUCCCGCUGAGGCGAGAAUGCCCUACGCAUCGGGAUACCAGUCGUGUUCCGUUGGCGUGAGGGAUCCCCAUGCAUGAAAACCCGUUACGCAAGGUCCGAGAAUCUUUUGGAAGGAUGCGGCAGUUCAACGGACUGUGUGAGGUUGAUGUUUGCUCGUUUUUUGGGAUUAUAGGCGUGGCAGCGAAUUGAGGUCGGAGGGCAUAAAGGUCCCACAAGGAUGACUGGCAUGUCUGCCUGCUCACGAGAUGCUUCACGCGCAACAUCCCGUGCCUGCCGCGAUGCCAAUCACGUUCUCAAUUAGGUGACGAGGGUAGGCAGGUGUUACGACAUAUAUGGAGGACAUGCUCAGACAGGUUAAGGAGACUGCACGAGCACAUUAUGCCCGGGGGUGCGUAUCGUGUCGGAUUGACAACGUCCACAGCAGGCACACAUGAUUCCACCCAGCACGUGUCCGAAUUGAGAAAUCGUGUGAAGGACCUUGGCGUCCAUGCUGGUAAUGUGCGACGACAGGAAGCUCGUCAGCGGAGAAUAAACGUAACGCAAGCGUCCACACAGCCUCAUCUAUGUUGGAUGUUCAUUCCUAUCUGGCAAGAUCGUCGAUUUCGUUUGUUGUAUUCUGCUGUAGUCGUGCGCUGGGACAUGGAUGCUGUAUCGGUGUCGUACCUGGGCGCCACGAGCCACCUGCUUGUCUGUGGUGGUUUACGAUGUUGCACUAAUGCGUUUGAAUUCUGUCCGGUUACAGCAUUCCUGUAGAGGAGGACUGUGGUUCGUCGGCUGGACGUAUGUCGAUGGUCUCAUACAGGUGUGUCGGGCGUUUGCCUUAGACACGGAUGAAGGUGUCCGUUCGCGUGGAUUUCCCCCGUCGUCUUCAUGUGGUCCCUUGAUAGUUACACUUGUUACGGUCCACUGCACCCCGGCAGCAUUUUAGCAAUCAGGUUGCACAGGAACCGGUCAGCCUUGAACUUCGUUUUCCAACCCAAUUGCAGGUAUAUCUCGUGGAGUGUUCCGAUAAUUCGUGAUUGAUGCCAGCAGGCCCCAAACUGCCAACUAGCAAAUAGAAUAGUAUCCUUCGCCUGAUGUCCAGUGACUUGUGCAGCGAAGACGUUUAUGUUAGUCAAUCUGUUCCUUGACUGAGGAUGCAGAUUGCUGCAUUAGAUUGCAACAGCCCUCUCCCGCACGGGAGGACUGAAGGAUGUUACCGG
rnacentral:lncRNA from 1 species